GAUCACGUCUUGUUAUUAUUUUGGCUUCUUUCUACAAGCGGUUAGCAGCCAGACUAUUUUUGCCAGUUACAAAAAUAUAGCACCUUGGCAUAUGAAAUAUUUUAAGCUGAAAGAAUUUACUGAAGAAGGAAGAGCCUCCUGACCCUCCCCUUCCAUUUUCCUCUAAAGCGGGUCAUAAGACCUUCAUGCGAAAGAUGUCCACCCUAUACCUGCAGGAAAAGAGCAUCUUUAUCUUAGAAAAUGAAGGGACACGGUGUGGAAUCUGAACAAACAGACCUUGCUGGUAGUGAUUCUGACACCAGUGGACCUCCAGGCGCGGCUCCUCCUACCACGAGAGGACUCUUGACUUUUCUAAUAAAGAAGGUUCUGGCCAAUCAGUCCAAGAAAGGCUCUGAUUCUCUGCCAGGCUGUUGUCUCUGCCGAAAUGCUCCUCAGGGUGGAAGGUGCUGCUGCGGCAGGACAUGUCUCCUGAGUUUUCAGGUCUGUGGUGACCCUGAGCACCAACUGAGUAACACAGAGUCACAUACUAUGUGGGGGCCUAAGGAACAAAUGGUAGAAGAGGCCUUAAGGGACGAGGAGAGAAAUCCAAGGAAGACCUGACUAUGGACUACGAUGGAGGUAGGGUAAUCAUGUGGGCUGUGCCUUGUAGCAGCCUGGGACAGGGAUGACAGCUCGGUGAGGGCUGAGAAAAGAGCAUGUGGUGGG
rnacentral:lncRNA from 13 species